rnacentral:rRNA from 1 species
AUUGAACGCUGGCGGCAUGCUUUACACAUGCAAGUCGAACGGUAACAGGGUGCUUGCACCGCUGACGAGUGGCGAACGGGUGAGUAAUGCGUCGGAACGUGCCGAGUAGUGGGGGAUAACGCAGCGAAAGUUGUGCUAAUACCGCAUACGUACUGAGGUAGAAAGUGGGGGACCUUCGGGCCUCACGCUAUUCGAGCGGCCGACGUCUGAUUAGCUAGUAGGUGAGGUAAAGGCUCACCUAGGCGACGAUCAGUAGCGGGUAGGAGAGGAUGAUCCGCCACACUGGGAAUGAGACACGGCCCAGACUCCUACGGGAGGCAGCAGUGGGGAAUUUUGGACAAUGGGCGAAAGCCUGAUCCAGCCAUGCCGCGUGUCUGAAGAAGGCCUUCGGGUUGUAAAGGACUUUUGUCAGGGAGGAAAUCCCUAGUGCUAAUAACACUGGGGGAUGACAGUACCUGAAGAAUAAGCACCGGCUAACUACGUGCCAGCCGCCGCAGUAA